GACGAACGCUGGCGGCGUGCUUAACACAUGCAAGUCGAACGGAAAGGCCCUGCUUUUGUGGGGUGCUCGAGUGGCGAACGGGUGAGUAACACGUGAGUAACCUGCCCUUGACUUUGGGAUAACUUCAGGAAACUGGGGCUAAUACCGGAUAGGAGCUCCUGCUGCAUGGUGGGGGUUGGAAAGUUUCGGCGGUUGGGGUUGGACUCGCGGCUUAUCAGCUUGUUGGUGGGGGAGUGGCUUACCAAGGCUUUGACGGGUAGCCGGCCUGAGAGGGUGACCGGCCACAUUGGGACUGAGAUACGGCCCAGACUCCUACGGGAGGCAGCAGUGGGGAAUAUUGCACAAUGGGCGGAAGCCUGAUGCAGCAACGCCGCGUGCGUGAUGACGGCCUUCGGGUUGUAAACCGCUUUCGCCUGUGACGAAGCGUGAGUGACGGUAAUGGGUAAAGAAGCACCGGCUAACUACGUG
rnacentral:rRNA from 1 species